rnacentral:lncRNA from 1 species
AACUUGUUGCAGGUUCCUGUGUACCUGAGGUCUUCUAAAGGCUGCAACAUGGGCAGAUGUUAAUUUUUGCACUGCAUUGAGUGUGAAGUUGAACUUGCUCUUAAGAAACUGGAAGUAUGCAGAAAUGGAAGGGACUCAGUCACCAUGUACCUGCUAUGGACUCCUUGGAUUUCCGUAGGAAAAACUCCUCUGUACAAAUUCAAGAUACAUGAAGCUGCUCAGGUUUCAGCAGCAAAACUGUUGCACCUGUGAUGCAAAAGGACUGAAGCUCUCUGUGUAGGUGUAGCAAUACUGACAAAAGAGCUCUGCAACUCUUGUUGGCACUGAAUCCAGAGGUGGCAGCAGUGCCUGUUGCAGGAGUUGGGCUGGCCCUGCAGAGAUUACCAUCAAGCUUCUUUGUCUUCUGCAGUAGCCUCUGGGGCACUUUAUCCAGUAUGUGCUGUGGCUUCUUGCUCUCUUACUGGGGACAGCUGGGUAGGAGUGUGCAGGAGGGAGGGAUGCACUCAGAGGGAACAUCAGCAGUACCACUGCUUGGCUAUUACCUUUAUGAAUGCUUCAAACCUGCUUCUCUUCGCUUGUCCUUCACAAAUGUGCAGUAAAUCUAGAAUGCUGGAGUAAGUGUGGGAUUUAUAUCUGUUCUGCCUCUAAAAAAGAAAAAGGUCUGCUUUGUAGCUUACUGUGCAUGCAUUUAAGUAACAUUCCUGAAAGCAAACAAUAGAAAACUGCUUCCCUGAGUAGAAAUGAGUGUAUAUAGGAGGCCUGGAACAUGAAUAAAAAGUUCUGUGGAGCUUAUAGUGGCAAAGGAAGACUAAAUGUGUCUGUAGUAAUUAAUAAAUUGUGGGACACAAAUAUAAAUCUGGGUUAGCAGCCCUUGUGCUCGUGCUGUCAGGUAACUGCUUUUUUUGUUGCAGUUGGUUCUGUUUGCUUAGCAUGCAAUAAGCAAACCUGCUGAUGUCACUUAAACUCAACUGAAUUUGAGAUCGUACAUCUUGAAAUUUAUAGCAAAAAAAAAACCCCAAUGAACAGGCAUCAAUCUUGUCACCAUGAAAGAUGACACAUUUUACUUGUCUACAUAAACAUCCUGCGGAUUUAACUAUAGAAGCAUUAUGAUUCCUAAUAUGCUUUCUGGCUUUGAAAUGCCAUCAAAUGAUGCUGUACCAUAUGAAUAAUAAUAAUAUAUCUCAAACAAAGCAAAUGUAUAUCAACCUGCUAAAAAUCUGAGAAAUAGAGAAACGUCACAUGUAAUUUGUUAAUUCAAUGGGAUGCCUUUCCAAAGUCUGUUUAUACCCAGGGAAUAAUGUUUACUCAAGUGACUGAAUGCUGGGCACCUGUGAGCAAUACAGGGCAGCAAAGAAGCAGAGCUGGUUUAACAGCUGUAGGAAGUGUUAAGCUUGUUUAUUGUUAUUUUGGCUGCUGCUUGGGCCGAUGUGCUCCUUCCCUCAGCCCAGGAGCUAGAAGCACCCCGUGCAUUUACUUUGGAAAGUAAAUCAAUGAAUAAAGGCUUAACACACUAGAUUUAUGUGUGCUGUCAGUUUCCAGGCAAUAUAAUUAUUGUCAGUUUUCUGCCUCCAACGACUUCUUUAGCUUCUGGAAAUAAUGAGAGGAUGUGUUUGGCCACGUGACGUUUUUUUGCCUUUGCACAAUUAGCCUCUUUUUCCCCCUUGGUGAAUCUUGCAUUUUAAAGAGCCCUCACACAUUCCUGCCUGAGACUUUGGUACAAUACCAUGUGACAAAAAAAAUCAUUUGACAAUACUGUAGCUGAAGUGUCCCUCUGUAUCACAUAGGAAACUGGGAGAUCAGUGUGGAGUUCAGAUCCACAGAAUAAUAGACUUAAAUAAACAGGAAGACAAAAGAUGCAAUACCUCAGCUUUCCAGAAAGCUGUAGAGGGACUGUGUGAUAGAUGGCUUCAAUUCAUGAAGGCAAGGUGCUGCAUGGUCAAUCUGUCCUGAAAAUCACUUAUUGGAGACUUCCUUGCUUUCUUCUCUUUCUUGCUCAUUAUGUCCCCUCCUGACACCACUGGCUUGGAAUGAUCCUAAAUGUUGCAAUGUGAAUGGCUGUCCUGGCAGCAGCACUCUGAGCUGUGUGCUGGGAAGCCCAGGGUUAGCACUGGUUUAGCACUGUACAGAGGCAAGGCUUUGUGCUGGUUCAUAGUCCUGAUCUUGGCUGGGAGAACAUGAGUUUCCUGAACGUCCAUUCCAUGUUUCUUUUAUAUUGAACUAUAGCAGGAUUGGUCUUGCUUUGUAAUUCUGCGGUGCUGUGAGAGAUGACUGACUAAAUCUGUGGCACUGUAAUUUGAAUGUGUGAAAUAACAGAGGUUAAGCAGUACGCAGCUUUCAGUAUCAUGUUUGUGUUUUGUCUUCUCUUCCUCAUAAAGCCAUGAACUUUGGAUCAAAAUACUCACAGAAGUGUAUUUGUAACUAAUAACGCAUGUUUGUCUCAGGGAUAACGUUAUAAUAUUCUGGUGUGAGUGCUGUCAACUUCUUGUAAGAAAGGAAAAGAGACACAUCUCUUGUAGUGCAGGAUUUGCUCGCAGGAGGGCACGUGCUCAGCAGUGCCUGAGGUCAGACUGACUGGUGGCAGCAGAACUGGUGAUCUGUAUUUCGUGGGGAGGGAGGAGAGAAAAUAGCUCCUGCUAAACUACAAGAAGAUUACUGCCUGUCUAUAGGAACCAUAGCUGAGAGAUUUUUUUUUCCUUUGAUUCAGGUUUCAUUUUCUCUUGAUUGUAUGUAAAAGAGAUAGAGCUGACCUCUUUAAUUCCUGCGAAGACUAACUUGGUUUUCACUGUUGGGUAACUUCUGUUACAAACUAGGAGUGUUUCCUCCAAAAUUUACAAGAAUUUGUAUAAAAGU